rnacentral:rRNA from 1 species
CCUACGGGGGGCUGCAGUAACGAAUCUUCCGCAAUGCACGAAAGUGUGACGGAGCGACGCCGCGUGUAGGACGAAGUCCUUCGGGAUGUAAACUACUGUCAGGGGUUACCAAGUUCUGAGGAGCCCCAGAGGAAGGCACGGCUAACUCUGUGCCAGCAGCCGCGGUAAGACAGAGGUGCCAAGCGUUAGGCGGAAUCACUGGGCUUAAAGCGUGUGUAGGCGGAAUUCUAAGUACCUUGUGAAAUCCCACAGCUCAACUGUGGAACUGCUUGGUA